rnacentral:lncRNA from 1 species
AUAUUUCUUACUCUCUCGGGGCUGGAAGCUUCCUGACUGAAGAUCUCUCUGCACUUGGGGUUCUUUCUAGAACAUUUUCUAGUCCCCCAACACCCUUUAUGGCGUAUUUCUUUAAAAAAAUCACCUAAAUUCCAUAAAAUAUUUUUUUAAAUUCUAUACUUUCUCCUAGUGUCUUCUUGACACGUCCUCCAUAUUUUUUUAAAGAAAGUAUUUGGAAUAUUUUGAGGCAAUUUUUAAUAUUUAAGGAAUUUUUCUUUGGAAUCAUUUUUGGUUGACAUCUCUGUUUUUUGUGGAUCAGUUUUUUACUCUUCCACUCUCUUUUCUAUAUUUUGCCCAUCGGGGCUGCGGAUACCUGGUUUUAUUAUUUUUUCUUUGCCCAACGGGGCCGUGGAUACCUGCCUUUUAAUUCUUUUUUAUUCGCCCAUCGGGGCCGCGGAUACCUGCUUUUUAUUUUUUUUUCCUUAGCCCAUCGGGGUAUCGGAUACCUGCUGAUUCCCUUCCCCUCUGAACCCCCAACACUCUGGCCCAUCGGGGUGACGGAUAUCUGCUUUUUAAAAAUUUUCUUUUUUUGGCCCAUCGGGGCUUCGGAUACCUGCUUUUUUUUUUUUUAUUUUUCCUUGCCCAUCGGGGCCUCGGAUACCUGCUUUAAUUUUUGUUUUUCUGGCCCAUCGGGGCCGCGGAUACCUGCUUUGAUUUUUUUUUUUCAUCGCCCAUCGGUGCUUUUUAUGGAUGAAAAAAUGUUGGUUUUGUGGGUUGUUGCACUCUCUGGAAUAUCUACACUUUUUUUUGCUGCUGAUCAUUUGGUGGUGUGUGAGUGUACCUACCGCUUUGGCAGAGAAUGACUCUGCAGUUAAGCUAAGGGCGUGUUCAGAUUGUGGAGGAAAAGUGGCCGCCAUUUUAGACUUGCCGCAUAACUCGGCUUAGGGCUAGUCGUUUGUGCUAAGUUAAACUAGGGAGGCAAGAUGGAUGAUAGCAGGUCAGGCAGAGGAAGUCAUGUGCAUUGCAUGAGCUAAACCUAUCUGAAUGAAUUGAUUUGGGGCUUGUUAGGAGCUUUGCGUGAUUGUUGUAUCGGGAGGCAGUAAGAAUCAUCUUUUAUCAGUACAAGGGACUAGUUAAAAAUGGAAGGUUAGGAAAGACUAAGGUGCAGGGCUUAAAAUGGCGAUUUUGACAUUGCGGCAUUGCUCAGCAUGGCGGGCUGUGCUUUGUUAGGUUGUCCAAAAUGGCGGAUCCAGUUCUGUCGCAGUGUUCAAGUGGCGGGAAGGCCACAUCAUGAUGGGCGAGGCUUUGUUAAGUGGUUAGCAUGGUGGUGGACAUGUGCGGUCACACAGGAAAAGAUGGCGGCUGAAGGUCUUGCCGCAGUGUAAAACAUGGCGGGCCUCUUUGUCUUUGCUGUGUGCUUUUCGUGUUGGGUUUUGCCGCAGGGACAAUAUGGCAGGCGUUGUCAUAUGUAUAUCAUGGCUUUUGUCACGUGGACAUCAUGGCGGGCUUGCCGCAUUGUUAAAGAUGGCGGGUUUUGCCGCCUAGUGCCACGCAGAGCGGGAGAAAAGGUGGGAUGGACAGUGCUGGAUUGCUGCAUAACCCAACCAAUUAGAAAUGGGGGUGGAAUUGAUCACAGCCAAUUAGAGCAGAAGAUGGAAUUAGACUGAUGACACACUGUCCAGCUACUCAGCGAAGACCUGGGUGAAUUAGCAUGGCACUUCGCAGCUGUCUUUAGCCAGUCAGGAGAAAGAAGUGGAGGGGCCACGUGUAUGUCUCCCAGUGGGCGGUACACCAGGUGUUUUCAAGGUCUUUUCAAGGACAUUUAGCCUUUCCACCUCUGUCCCCUCUUAUUUGUCCCCUCCUGUCCAGUGCUGCCUCUUGCAGUGCUGGAUAUCUGGCUGUGUGGUCUGAACCUCCCUCCAUUCCUCUGUAUUGGUGCCUCACCUAAGGCUAAGUAUACCUCCCCCCCCACCCCCCAACCCCCCCAACUCCCCACCCCCACCCCCCACCCCCCACCUCCCCACCCCCCUACCCCCCUACCCCCCUACCCCCCUCUGGUCUGCCCUGCACUGCACUGUUGCCAUGGGCAGUGCUCCAGGCCUGCUUGGUGUGGACAUGGUGGUGAGCCGUGGCAAGGACCAGAAUGGAUCACAGAUGAUCGUUGGCCAACAGGUGGCAGAAGAGGAAUUCCUGCCUUCCUCAAGAGGAACACCUACCCCUUGGCUAAUGCUGGGGAUGUCAAAAGAUCGGCCCAGCUCAGGGAGCAGUUUGCCCUACUAGCUCCUCGGACAGCUGUAAAGAAGAGUCUCUGGCUCUUUAGAAUACUGAUCCCAUUGAAGAUACCACGCUGCAUGUGUCCUUAGUAGUCAUGUCUCCUUAGGCUCCUCUUGGACAUUCUGAGCAUGUGAGACCUGAGGACUGCAAACAGCUAUAAGAGGCUCCAAAUUAAUCAUAUCUUUCCCUUUGAGAAUCUGGCCAAGCUCCAGCUAAUCUACUUGGAUGGGUUGCCAGCUAUCUGGAGAAAAAGAUCUUCCUCAGAAGAAUAGGCUUGUUGUUUUACAGUGUUAGUGAUCCAUUCCCUUUGACGAUCCCUAGGUGGAGAUGGGGCAUGAGGAUCCUCCAGGGGAAAAGCUCACUACCACUGGGCAACAACCCUAGGUCAGGAGGUUCUGUCAAGAUACUUUCCUGGUCCCAGAUAGGAAGAUAAAGUCUCAAAAACAACCACCACACGUCAAGCUCUUCAUUGUUCCUAUCUGCCAAAUCAUUAUACUUCCUACAAGCAGUGCAGAGAGCUGAGUCUUCAGCAGGUCCAAGAAAUUUGAACACACUGAAGGAAGUCAGCCUUCCCACCUGAAGAUCAACAUGCCUGGCACUCUAGCACUUGAGGAUAGCUGAAUGAAUGUGUAUUUCUUUGUCUCUUUCUUUCUUGUCUUUGCUCUUUGUUCUCUAUCUAAAGUGUGUCUUACCCAUUUCCAUGUUUCUCUUGCUAAUUUCUUUCGUGUGUGCCUUUGCCUCAUUUUCUCUUUUUGUUCACAAGAGUGGUCUGUGUCUUGUCUUAGACAUAUCUCUCAUUUUUCAUUUUGUUGCUAUUUCUCUUUGCUCUCCUAGAUGUGGCUCUUCUUUCACGCUUUAUUUCAUGUCUCCUUUUUGGGUCACAUGCUGUGUGCUUUUUGUCCUUUUCUUGUUCUGUCUACCUCUCCUUUCUCUGCCUACCUCUCUUUUCUCUUUGUGAACUGUGAUUAUUUGUUACCCCUUCCCCUUCUCGUUCGUUUUAAAUUUCACCUUUUUUCUGAGUCUGGCCUCCUUUCUGCUGUUUCUACUUUUUAUCUCACAUUUCUCAUUUCUGCAUUUCCUUUCUGCCUCUCUUGGGCUAUUCUCUCUCUCCUCCCCUGCGUGCCUCAGCAUCUCUUGCUGUUUGUGAUUUUCUAUUUCAGUAUUAAUCUCUGUUGGCUUGUAUUUGUUCUCUGCUUCUUCCCUUUCUACUCACCUUUGAGUAUUUCAGCCUCUUCAUGAAUCUAUCUCCCUCUCUUUGAUUUCAUGUAAUCUCUCCUUAAAUAUUUCUUUGCAUAUGUGGGCAAGUGUACGUGUGUGUGUGUCAUGUGUGGCAGAGGGGCUUCCUAACCCCUGCCUGAUAGGUGCAGAACGUCGGCUAUCAGAGCAAGCAUUGUGGAGCGGUUCCUUAUGCCAGGCUGCCAUGUGAGAUGAUCCAAGACCAAAACAAGGCCCUAGACUGCAGUAAAACCCAGAACUCAAGUAGGGCAGAAGGUGGAAGGCUCAUAUGGAUAGAAGGCCCAAAGUAUAAGACAGAUGGUUUGAGACUUGAGACCCGAGGACUAAGAUGGAAAGCCCAUGUUCCAAGAUAGAUAGAAGCCUCAGGCCUGAAACCAACAAAAGCCUCAAGAGCCAAGAAAACAGAGGGUGGCCUGAAUUGGACCGAAGGCCUGAGUUGGAUGGAAGUCUCAAGGCUUGAGUUAGAAGUCUUAAGACCUGGGACAGGACACAUGGAAGGCCUAAGAACUGAGACUUGUGACACAAGGCCAACGACCUAAGAUUAGCCCAGGGUUGUAGCUGGAAGACCUACAACCCAAGGAUGGAAGGCCCCUGUCACAAAGCCUACCUAGAUGGAUAGAGGACCCAAGCGAAAAAGGUAUCUCAAGACUAACGGCCGGAAUCUGGAGGCCCAUGACCCAGAACCCAGGAAGGAUAGAAGCUUGAAGACCUGGGGAAAUCCCAAGAUGAGAACCCUAAACCCUACCUCUUUUCUAUUGUUUACACUUCUUACUCUUAGAUAUUUCCAGUUCUCCUGUUUAUCUUUAAGCCUGAUUCUUUUGAGAUGUACUUUUUGAUGUUGCCGGUUACCUUUAGAUUGACAGUAUUAUGCCUGGGCCAGUCUUGAGCCAGCUUUAAAUCACAGCUUUUACCUAUUUGUUAGGCUAUAGUGUUUUGUAAACUUCUGUUUCUAUUCACAUCUUCUCCACUUGAGAGAGACACCAAAAUCCAGUCAGUAUCUAAUCUGGCUUUUGUUAACUUCCCUCAGGAGCAGACAUUCAUAUAGGUGAUACUGUAUUUCAGUCCUUUCUUUUGACCCCAGAAGCCCUAGACUGAGAAGAUAAAAUGGUCAGGUUGUUGGGGAAAAAAAAGUGCCAGGCUCUCUAGAGAAAAAUGUGAAGAGAUGCUCCAGGCCAAUGAGAAGAAUUAGACAAGAAAUACACAGAUGUGCCAGACUUCUGAGAAGCACCUGCCAGCAACAGCUUCCUUCUUUGAGCUUAGGUGAGCAGGAUUCUGGGGUUUGGGAUUUCUAGUGAUGGUUAUGGAAAGGGUGACUGUGCCUGGGACAAAGCGAGGUCCCAAGGGGACAGCCUGAACUCCCUGCUCAUAGUAGUGGCCAAAUAAUUUGGUGGACUGUGCCAACGCUACUCCUGGGUUUAAUACCCAUCUCUAGGCUUAAAGAUGAGAGAACCUGGGACUGUUGAGCAUGUUUAAUACUUUCCUUGAUUUUUUUCUUCCUGUUUAUGUGGGAAGUUGAUUUAAAUGACUGAUAAUGUGUAUGAAAGCACUGUAAAACAUAAGAGAAAAACCAAUUAGUGUAUUGGCAAUCAUGCAGUUAACAUUUGAAAGUGCAGUGUAAAUUGUGAAGCAUUAUGUAAAUCAGGGGUCCACAGUUUUUCUGUAAGGGGUCAAAUCAUAAAUACUUUAGACUGUGGGCCAUAUGGUUUCUGUUACAUAUUUGUUUUUUAAACAACGUUUUUAUAAGGUCAAAAUCAUUCUUAGUUUUUGAGCCAAUUGGAUUUGGCCUGCUGUUCAUAGCUUACCACCCCCUGAUGUAUUAUUUGUUAUUCAGAGAAAAUUUCUGAAUACUACUAGUUUCCUUUUCUGUGCCUGUCCCUGUGCUAGGCACUAAAAAUGCAAUGAUUAUUGAUAUCUAGGUGACCUGAAAAAAAAUAGUGAAUGUGCUUUGUAAACUGUAAAGCACUUGUAUUCUACUGUGAUAAGCGUUGUGGAUACAAAGAAAGGAGCAAGCAUAAAAAAGUGCUCUUUCAAAAGGAUAUAGUACUAUGCAGACACAAGGAAUUGUUUGAUAAAUGAAUAAAUUAUAUGUAUAUUUGAGGCCAAUUUGUGUUUGCUGCUCUGGUAAUUUUGAGUAAAAAUGCAGUAUUCCAGGUAUCAGAAACGAAAACACAUGGAAACUGCUUUUAAACUUUAAAAUAUACUGAAAACAUAAGGGACUAAGCUUGUUGUGGUCACCUAUAAUGUGCCAGAUACCAUGCUGGGUGCUAGAGCUACCAAAGGGGGAAAAGUAUUCUCAUAGAACAAAAAAUUUCAGAAAGGUGCAUAUUAAAGUGCUUUGUAAACUAAAGCAUGAUACAAAUGUCAAUGGGCUACAUAUUUAUGAAUGAAUGAAUGGAUGAAUGAAUAUUAAGUGCCUCUUACAUACCAGCUAUUUUGGGUACUGUAAAAUACAAGAUUAAUUCUCCUAUGUAAUAAGAGGAAAGUUUAUCCUCUAUACUAUUCAGAUGUAAGGAAUGAUAUAUUGCUUAAUUUUAAACAAUCAAGACUUUACUGGUGAGGUUAAGUUAAAUUAUUACUGAUACAUUUUUCCAGGUAACCAGGAAAGAGCUAGUAUGAGGAAAUGAAGUAAUAGAUGUGAGAUCCAGACCGAAAGUCACUUAAUUCAGCUUGCGAAUGUGCUUUCUAAAUUAUAAAGCACUUGUAAAUGAAAAAUUUGAUGCUUUCUGUAUGAAUAAAACUUUCUGUAAGCUAGGUAUUGUCUCUACAAAAUUCUCAUUGUAUAGUUAAACCACAGUGAGAAGGGUUCUAUAAGUAGUUAUACAAACCAAGGGUUUAAAUACCUGUUAAAUAGAUCAAUUUUGAUUGCCUACUAUGUGAACUCACUGUUAAAGGCACUGAAAAUUUAUCAUAUUUCAUUUAGCCACAGCCAAAAAUAAGGCAAUACCUAUGUUAGCAUUUUGUGAACUCUAAGGCACCAUAUAAAUGUAACUGUUGAUUUUCUCACUUGGUGCUGGGUACUAGGUUUAUAAAAUUGUAUGAUAGUUAUUAUAUUGUGCAAAUAAAGUAGGAAAAUUUGAAUAACAAUGAUUAUCUUUUGAAUACGCAUACGCAAGGGAUUGGUUGUCUGAAGAAUGCCACUAUAGUAGUUAUCUAUUGUGUGCCAAUCUCAUUGCUAGGCAUUGGGGAUGCAAAGAUAAACCAUCUUUAUUGUGUCUUGGGUAGCAGAAGAAAAUAUGUGUAAAAUCAAUUUAUAAUUUGUAAACUGCCACCCAUAUAUAAGCUAUAUCUGCUGAAUGAUCAUUGAUUACUCUUAUCCUUAGAGAUAACAACUGGGGGCACAAACAUUUAUUAUCAUUAUUGAACCUACAACAGAGAUCUAUGUGUAGAUUUACAAAGCCUACAGUUCUAUACAGAUAGGAAUGAACUAUUGGCUUACUGAAUGGUGAUUACUUUCUGUGGGGCUCGGAACUACAUGCCCUAGGAUAUAAAAAUGAUGUUAUCAUUAUAGAGUGCUCACAGAAGGAAAUGAAGUAAUAUAGGUGUGAGAUCCAGACCAAAAGUCAUUUAACAAGUUUAUUCAGUGAUGAAAACAUGGGACAAAUGGACUAAUAUAAGGCAGUGUACUAAGCUGAGUAGAGAGAUAAAGUCCUGUCCAGAAGAUACAUGCUUCCUGGCCUGAUUGAGGAGAUGGAAAAUUUUUGCAAAAAACAAGGUGUUGUGGUCUUCCAUCCAGUUUCUUAAGUGCUGAUGAUAAAAGUGAAUUAGACCCACCUUGACCUGGCCUACAGAAGUAAAGGAGUAAAAAUAAAUGCCUCAGGCGUGCUUUUUGAUUCAUUUGAUAAACAAAGCAUCUUUUAUGUGGAAUAUACCAUUCUGGGUCCUGAGGAUAAGAGAGAUGAGGGCAUUAGAUCACUGACAGCUGAAGAUAGAAGAACAUCUUUGGUUUGAUUGUUUAAAUAAUAUUUCAAUGCCUAUUCUCUGCAAGGUACUAUGUUUCGUAAAUUAAAUAGGUCUGGCCCAGAAGACCCACUCAAUUGCCUUUGAGAUUAAAAAAAAAAAAAAAAAGAAAGAAAAAUGCAAGUUUCUUUCAAAAUAAAGAGACAUUUUUCCUAGUUUCAGGAAUCCCCCAAAUCACUUCCUCAUUGGCUUAGUUUAAAGCCAGGAGACUGAUAAAAGGGCUCAGGGUUUGUUCUUUAAUUCAUUAACUAAACAUUCUGCUUUUAUUACAGUUAAAUGGUUCAAGAUGUAACAACUAGUUUUAAAGGUAUUUGCUCAUUGGUCUGGCUUAGAGACAGGAAGACAUAUGAGCAAUAAAAAAAAGAUUCUUUUGCAUUUACCAAUUUAGUAAAAAUUUAUUAAAACUGAAUAAAGUGCUGUUCUUAAGUGCUUGAAAGACGUAAACCAAAGUGCACUUUAUCUCAUUUAUCUUAUGGUGGAAACACAGGAACAAAUUCUCUAAGAGACUGUGUUUCUUUAGUUGAGAAGAAACUUCAUUGAGUAGCUGUGAUAUGUUCGAUACUAAGGAAAAACUAAACAGAUCACCUUUGACAUGCGUUGUAGAGUGGGAAUAAGAGAGGGCUUUUUAUUUUUUCGUUCAUACGAGUAUUGAUGAAGAUGAUACUAAAUGCUAAAUGAAAUAUAUCUGCUCCAAAAGGCAUUUAUUCUGACUUGGAGAUGCAACAAAAACACAAAAAUGGAAUGAAGUGAUACUCUUCAUCAAACAGAAGUGACUGUUAUCUCAACCAUUUUGUUAAAUCCUAAACAGAAAACAAAAAAAAUCAUGACGAAAAGACACUUGCUUAUUAAUUGGCUUGGAAAGUAGAAUAUAGGAGAAAGGUUACUGUUUAUUUUUUUUCAUGUAUUCAUUCAUUCUACAAAUAUAUUCGGGUGCCAAUAGGUACUUGGUAUAAGGUUUUUGGCCCCAGAGACAUGGGAAAAAAAUGCAUGCCUUCCCAGAGAAUGCCUAAUACUUUCCUUUUGGCUUGUUUUCUUGUUAGGGGCAUGGCUUAGUCCCUAAAUAACAUUGUGUGGUUUAAUUCCUACUCCGUAUCUCUUCUACCACUCUGGCCACUACGAUAAGCAGGUAGCUGGGUUUUGUAGUGAGCUUGCUCCUUAAGUUACAGGAACUCUCCUUAUAAUAGACACUUCAUUUUCCUAGUCCAUCCCUCAUGAAAAAUGACUGACCACUGCUGGGCAGCAGGAGGGAUGAUGACCAACUAAUUCCCAAACCCCAGUCUCAUUGGUACCAGCCUUGGGGAACCACCUACACUUGAGCCACAAUUGGUUUUGAAGUGCAUUUACAAGUUUCUGGCAUCACUACCACUACUGAUUAAACAAGAAUAAGAGAACAUUUUAUCAUCAUCUGCUUUAUUCACAUAAAUGAAGUUGUGAUGAAUAAAUCUGCUUUUAUGCAGACACAAGGAAUUAAGUGGCUUCGUCAUUGUCCUUCUACCUCAAAGAUAAUUUAUUCCAAAAGCUAAGAUAAAUGGAAGACUCUUGAACUUGUGAACUGAUGUGAAAUGCAGAAUCUCUUUUGAGUCUUUGCUGUUUGGAAGAUUGAAAAAUAUUGUUCAGCAUGGGUGACCACCAGAAAGUAAUCUUAAGCCAUCUAGAUGUCACAAUUGAAACAAACUGGGGAGUUGGUUGCUAUUGUAAAAUAAAAUAUACUGUUUUGAAAACUUUGUAUUUUGAUGUGACAAUUUCUAACUCAC